rnacentral:tRNA from 1 species
GGGGGAUUAGCUCAGCUGGCUAGAGUACCUGCUUUGCAAGCAGGGGGUCAUCGGUUCGAAUCCGAUAUUCUCCA